UAGUAAUGGACAACUCUGGUUAAUUUACACCAUGAAAUAUGUACGAUCUGAAACAUUUACUUAAUAUGUAAAUCAUUAUAUAUGUAGCAUCACAUGACAUUCAUAACUUAUAUAUGAUGUUUAUUCAACCGUAUUUGAUGUACAUUUUGUAUUUGUUUGUGAUAUUUCCGUCUUUUAUGUAAUAAAAUGUCGUAAAAGAAAUAAAAUUGAGGAUAAAAGGACGACUAUGUUAACUGCUUAAGGUAUUGUAUGUUUUAUUUGUGAUGAUACUGGACUGCCUAUUGAUAUUGUCAGUAUAUCUACCUUUUGUUAAACUGGCACAUGAUCAUCCGGCCUUCAGGCAAUCAGGUAUUGGUGUGCCAUGGAAUACUCCAAGACGUGCCCACAACCUAUAUCCUACUGCUGAUUUAUCCUUAGGGGAAACCAUUGCUGUUGUUGAUCCUUCGGAAGUUAAAACAUUGCCGCAAAAUACACACGUGUCCGCACUUGGUAUGAUAACUGGAGUAUCGAAUACAAAAGUCAGUGGAACCGAAUCAUUACCUUAUUUCCAGACUAACAGCGGAAGGUUUCCUAAUGCACGCUUUGAGGAGGUUAGUCGUGGUUUAUCAAGUGGAAUAUCCCAUACAGGCAAAUCAAACAAACUUGGAGGAUUCGAAUUACAUGGUAAUGGCCACAUCAGAGAUAAUUCAAACGAUCAGGUGCAGCAUGUCACAGGCCAAACUAUAACAGAACUGGCAAAGAUAUUCAAAACCAAUGAUCAAGGAUCAGUAAAUAAAAAUAAAGCAGAUGUCCGACCUGCCAACAAACUUGGUGAAACGUUAUUACAGACAAUAGCAAAGAAAGUUGUGUCAAAAUUAGUUGAUAAAAUUGUAAAUACAAUCAACAAGGAGAACCAAGGUUUAACACGAUCAGGAAACUCGAAGCAAGGUUUUGCAGAUAGACGUGCUGUUAAUCAACCAUUCCUUCCUGUCGCUCAUUCACAUGGACCACAUGGUGAAGUAAUUCCAGUUUCACGUGCAGAUCAUGUUCAUUCGCCCGGUGGACAUAUUAUCCCCCUGGGGAACCACAGGAGUAUGUCUUGGCGGCAAAAUCCAUUUCUUCGACCUAGAAUUCAAAGGUAUCCAAAUGGUUGGAUUUAGUGAUAAAAAUUAAAUUAGGGAAAAGAUUGUAAAUAAAAGUUUCAUAAACUAUAAAAGUCAUAUAUGCAGUAAAAAUCUUCUUUUGUCGGAUUUUUUUAACUUCUAUGCAAGUUGGAAAAGCAUGUUGGAAACCCGUUUCCUGAAUAAUGAUCCCAGGACCAUCCAUAUAAAAUGUCCUUAUAUGGAUAUUAGAAGGGCGUAUCUUUCAUGGAGACAACCGAGGCAACUGUAGUUUGCUCC